rnacentral:misc_RNA from 1 species
GUUGUUGCUCACUCAAAUGCUUCAUAUUGCUCUCAAAUUUUGUUUUAGGCAAAUCAGUGUCCAUCCAAUUGUCCUUUAAAUACCCAGCGCUCCACAACGAACUUCCAUGUUUUGGCUGAGCUGAUUUUCUUGGUUUCCAAACACAUAUUACUCUUUUCGGCAAUAACUCUGCUACUGUCUUGUUGAAAACAGAGUCGUCUUGGUGAAUAAGAAAUUCCCCCAAUUGAUUCUCUAAAUACUUGUCGAAUUCUGGUGGAUCAUCGUGCCCAAACUCUGUUCGGAUCUCAAGAAUUAUGAUCUCCGAUUGGGUCUCAGAUAAGAAGUUCUUCACAUCGUUGAUCACAACAUCAACGUUGUAAGAAACUAGAAUACCAUGACAGACACGACCAUCUUUUUGAACUCUGAUGUCAAGAACACGGGUGCCCAUUACCAGCUGAUCGUAAAUGGAGAGGGAUUGUGUUCGGGCAAAAGGUCGAGAAAUAAAUGGAAUCCCAAUUUUGUUAGUUGCUGAAUCAUGUGUACCAGGCCAAACGAUUUUAUUCACGUGAAGUUUAUCGAGAGCAAGUGUUGACAUCCAAUUUUUCCUAUCUUCUGGGCAAUGAUCACAACCAGGGAAAUCGGUGUUAUCUUUCUCCUUGAGAUCACAAAGAAGUUUCUUCUGAGUACUGAUUGCUCUUCUUCUUUCCAUCUGUUUAGAGAAAAAAGAACCCAUU